rnacentral:rRNA from 1 species
CUUUUCUUGAUUAAAUAUGAAGUAUAGCCUGCUCAAUGAGAAUUUAAAUAGCCGCGGUAUGAUGACCGUGCAAAGGUAGCAUAAUCAUUAGUCUUUUAAUUGUAGGCUGGAAUGAAUGGUUGGACGAAAUAAUUUCUGUCUUAAUUUUAUUAAUUUGAAGUUAAUUUUUGUGUUAAAAAGCUCAAAUUAUUUUUUGGGACGAGAAGACCCUAUAGAGUUUUAUAUUUUUUAGAAAUUUAUUUUUUUGUUUUAGUAAGUUACUAAAUUUAUUUUGUUGGGGUGAUGUAAAGAUAAGAAUAACUCUUUAUAUUUUUAUUUAUAAAUUAUUAUAUUUGUGAUCCAUUAUUAAUGAUUAAAAGAUUAAAUUACCUUAGGGAUAACAGCGUAAUCUUUUUAGAGAGUUCUUAUUGACAAUAAGGAUUGCGA